AGAACGAACGCUGGCGGCAGGCCUAAUACAUGCAAGUCGAACGCACUCUUCGGAGUGAGUGGCAGACGGGUGAGUAACGCGUGGGAACCUUCCCAAUGGUACGGAAUAACUCCGGGAAACCGGUGCUAAUACCGUAUAAGCCCCUCGGGGGAAAGAUUUAUCGCCAUUGGAUGGGCCCGCGUCGGAUUAGCUAGUUGGUAAGGUAAUGGCUUACCAAGGCUACGAUCCGUAGCUGGUCUGAGAGGAUGAUCAGCCACACUGGGACUGAGACACGGCCCAGACUCCUACGGGAGGCAGCAGUAGGGAAUCUUGGACAAUGGGCGAAAGCCUGAUCCAGCCAUGCCGCGUGAGUGAAGAAGGCCUUAGGGUUGUAAAGCUCUUUUGGCGGGGACGAUAAUGACGGUACCCGCAGAAUAAGCCCCGGCUAACUUCGUGCCAGCAGCCGC
rnacentral:rRNA from 1 species